rnacentral:rRNA from 1 species
GUGCCAGCCGCCGCGGUAAUACCGGCAGCACGAGUGAUGGCCGCUAUUAUUGGGCCUAAAGCGUCCGUAGCCGGCCGGGCAAGUCCGUCGGGAAAUCCACCCGCCCAACGGGUGGGCGUCCGGUAGAAACUGGCCGGCUUGGAACCGGAAGGCUCAGAGAGUACGUCCGGGGUAGGAGUGAAAUCCCGUAAUCCCGGACGGGCUACCGAUGGCGAAAGCACUCUGAGAAGACGGCUUCGACAGUGAGGGACGAAAGCUCGGGUCUCAAACCGGAUUAGAUACCCCGGUAGUCC